rnacentral:rRNA from 1 species
AUUGAACGCUGGCGGCAGGCUUAACACAUGCAAGUCGAGCGGGGUGAGGUGCUUCGGUACUGAUCCUAGCGGCGGACGGGUGAGUAAUGCUUAGGAAUCUGCCAUUUAGUGGGGGACAACAUUUCGAAAGGAAUGCUAAUACCGCAUACGUCCUACGGGAGAAAGCAGGGGAUCUUCGGACCUUGCGCUAAAUGAUGAGCCGAAGUCGGAUUAGCUCGUUGGUGGGGUAAAGGCCUACCAAGGCGACGAUCUGUAGCGGGUCUGAGAGGAUGAUCCGCCACACUGGGACUGAGACACGGCCCAGACUCCUACGGGAGGCAGCAGUGGGGAAUAUUGGACAAUGGGCGGAAGCCUGAUCCAGCCAUGCCGCGUGUGUGAAGAAGGCCUUUUGGUUGUAAAGCACUUUAAGCGAGGAGGAGGCUACCUGGAUUAAUACUCUGGGAUAGUGGACGUUACUCGCAGAAUAAGCACCGGCUAACUCUGUGCCAGCCGCCGCUGUAA